CCCUUAGAUGUCCUGGGCCGCACGCGCGUUACACUGAUGCAUUCAACGAGCUUAUAACCUUGGCCGAGAGGCCUGGGCAAUCUUGUUAACGUGCAUCGUGAUAGGGAUAGAUUAUUGAAAUUAUUAAUCUUGAACGAGGAAUUCCUAGUAAACGCAGAUCAUCAAUCUGCAUUGAUUACGUCCCUGCCCUUUGUACACACCGCCCGUCGCUCCUACCGAUUGAGUGCUCAGGUGAAUAAUUCGGACUGCAGCAAUGUUUGGAUCCCGAACGUUGCAGCGGAAAGUUUAGUGAACCUUAUCACUUAGAGGAAGGAGAAGUCGUAACA
rnacentral:rRNA from 1 species